rnacentral:rRNA from 1 species
UACGUAGGGCGCAAGCGUUAUCCGGAAUUAUUGGGCGUAAAGAGCUCGUAGGCGGUUUGUCGCGUCUGCCGUGAAAAGUCCGGGGGCUCAACUCCGGAUCUGCGGUGGGGUACGGGCAGACUAGAGUGAUGUAGGGGGAGACUGGAAUUCCUGGUGUAGCGGUGAAAUGCGUAGAUAUCAGGAGGAACACCGGUGGCGAAGGCGGGGUCUCUGGGGCAAACAACUGACGCUGAGGAGCGAAAAGCGUGGGGGAGCGAAACAGG